UCGCCACUGGCUCAGCGGUAGAGCAUCCGCCUGCCACUGCAGGAGACCCAGGUUCGAUCCUUGGGUCGGGAA
rnacentral:tRNA from 1 species